rnacentral:tRNA from 1 species
GCUGGCUUAGCUCAGUUGGUAGAGCAACUGAUUUGUAAUCAGUAGGUCGUUGGUUCAAAUCCGAUAGCCAGCUCCA